GAUGAACGCUGGCGGCGUGCCUAAUACAUGCAAGUCGAGCGAAUGGAUUAAGAGCUUGCUCUUAUGAAGUUAGCGGCGGACGGGUGAGUAACACGUGGGUAACCUGCCCAUAAGACUGGGAUAACUCCGGGAAACCGGGGCUAAUACCGGAUAAUAUUUUGAACUGCAUGGUUCAAAAUUGAAAGGCGGCUUCGGCUGUCACUUAUGGAUGGACCCGCGUCGCAUUAGCUAGUUGGUGAGGUAACGGCUCACCAAGGCAACGAUGCGUAGCCGACCUGAGAGGGUGAUCGGCCACACUGGGACUGAGACACGGCCCAGACUCCUACGGGAGGCAGCAGUAGGGAAUCUUCCGCAAUGGACGAAAGUCUGACGGAGCAACGCCGCGUGAGUGAUGAAGGCUUUCGGGUCGUAAAACUCUGUUGUUAGGGAAGAACAAGUGCUAGUUGAAUAAGCUGGCACCUUGACGGUACCUAACCAGAAAGCCACGGCUAACUACGUGCCAGCCGCCGCUGUAA
rnacentral:rRNA from 1 species